rnacentral:lncRNA from 1 species
ACAAAAAUCCCUUAAUGAUAUAUGUGUUAAAUCCUCCACUAUCUAUCCUAAAACGGAUUCUAAUUUAUCUGGUGAAACUAAUAAACAGAAACAGAAAACUGAAAAUUCAUUAUCUGUUUUUGCUAAAUCUAUGUUGUUUAAAUUUAGCAAAAGUAUGCAGAAGUAUAUUACUUGCAAUCCUAAAACCUGCAAACUAAUAGACAAAAUGGUAAUUAAGAGAAUAUGGGUUCCAAAAGGAACAAUUAUAGCUAACCUGCAAGGACCCAAAAGAGCUUGGGUUUCUAAGUUGAAAACAUAAUCAUUUUUAGCAAAUGUGUCUAGCUACCCAAGAUUCCAAUGAAAGAUGUUAAUUUAGACAUUGGGUGCUCUAGACAUAUAUUAAAGAAUGAAACUUAAAAUAUACUUGAGAAAAGUAAUUAAAAUAAAAAGAAUAAUGAAAUUAGUAAUCCUUGCAUCUCAUCAUUCUCUUUGCCUUAGUAUCAAAUUAAAACAUGAAUUGCAGGUAUUAAUCAAUUUUGUGAUAUAGGUAAUAUUUUUAAAAAUAUAAUCAAAUCACUUCAUUUUAUAGUAUGCCUUAUUUACUGCUGGAUAAGUUGCUAAAUGAUUAAUCAAUUUAUUAAGAAUAACUCUAUGAAUUCUCUAUAUGCUUGAUUGAGAGUUUUUAUCAAUGGUAUUAUCUUAUUGAUCAUAGACAUGAGAAUGUAUACUUGGUAUGCUUUUAAAUAUAUGCACUAUGAAUACCAAGAUUAAAGAAACCA